GGCAACGAGCACUCCCACCCUCCUUCUGGAAAAUGGAGAGUUUACAGUAAACAGCAGUACCUCAGCAAACUUGACCGGCCGAUAAGAGUGGAAAACACAUAUAGAUGUGGAAACAGACAAGACCUGUGUCGCUUUCUCUCCAUCUCAAAACUCUGCUAUUUUUAAACUAUAGUAGGAUGGAGGCUGCUGUGGUCCUUGUGCAGCCCCCGGUGACAGAGGCAGGAACAGCUGCGCAGCUAGAGCAGUGGAGCACAGGUCUGCGCGACUGCUGGGAGAACAUAGGCGACUGUAAGUCUGCGCCGCUUCAGAUGUCUGUCUGCUUCUGUCACACACUGUCCAUCUGUCUGUCUCCAAAUGCACAUGUAUGUCUGUAAGACUCGCUGGACAUUGGAAUAAAUCCAUGGAGAGCUA